GACAGAGGUGCCGAGCGUUAGGCGGAAUCACUGGGCUUAAAGCGUGUGUAGGCGGAUGCCUAAGUACCUUGUGAAAUCCCACGGCUUAACCGUGGAACUGCUUGGUAUACUGGGUGUCUUGAGCCACUUAGGGGCGACCGGAACAAACGGUGGAGCGGUGAAAUGCGCAGAUAUCAGGAGGAACACCGGUGGCGAAGGCGGUUCUCUGGGCAUUACCUGACGCUGAGGAGCGAAAGCGUGGGGAGCAAACAGG
rnacentral:rRNA from 1 species